rnacentral:tRNA from 1 species
AUUUAUAUAAUAUAUACACGUAUAUUUAACUUCCAAUUAAAAAGUCUGAUUAUAUAAUCAGUAUAAAUA